rnacentral:rRNA from 1 species
CCUACGGGUGGCAGCAGUGAGGAAUCUUGGUCAAUGGGCGCGAGCCUGACCCAGCCAAGUAGCGUGAAGGAUGACUGCCCUACGGGUUGUAAACUUCUUUUAUAAAGGAAUACAGUGACGCACGUGUGCCUUUUUGUCUGUACUUUAUGUAUCAGGAUCGGCUAACUCCGUGCCAGCAGCCGCGGUAAUACGGAGGAUCCGAGCGUUAUCCGGAUUUAUUGGGUUUAAAGGGAGCGUAGAUGGGUUGUUAAGUCAGUUGUGAAAGUUUGCGGCUCAACCGUAAAAUUGCAAUUGAUACUGGCAGUCUUGAGUACAGUUGAGGUAGGCGGAAUUCGUGGUGUAGCGGUGAAAUGCUUAGAUAUCACGAAGAACUCCGAUUGCGAAGGCAGCUUACGAAACUGCCACUGACAUUGAGGCUCGAAAGUGUGGGGAGCAAACAGGAUUAGAUACCCUAGUAGUC